rnacentral:rRNA from 1 species
UACAGAGGGUGCGAGCGUUAAUCGGAAUUACUGGGCGUAAAGCGUGCGCAGACGGUCAUGUAAGUCGGGUGUGAAAGCCCCGGGCUCAACCUGGGAAUUGCAUUCGAGACUGCAUGGCUAGGGUGCGGAAGAGGGAAGCGGAAUUUCCGGUGUAGCGGUGAAAUGCGUAGAUAUCGGAAGGAACACCAGUGGCGAAAGCGGCUUCCUGGUCCAGCACCGACGUCAGGCACGAAAGCGUGGGGAGCAAACAGG